AACUAUAUGAAUUACAAACAUUUUGCUAAUAUGAAGGUUGGGAAAAACUGCUUCAAGGAAUUCAUUCCCUGCUAAGAACCUCCUAUCUUGAGCAAAAAAAAAAAAAAAAAAAAGGAAUGAAGCAUGCAGGAAUUUUAUUCAUUAUGAAAGGUGGGAACUAUCUAGAAACUCUUACCUGAGCCCCUGUAACAAAAGACCAAUUAUAAUUCUGCAGUUGACUAAAAGCUAUGCUAAAUCACAGGAUUUGCCUCAUACAUAGGCCUAGCCAUUGUCCACGCUGCAGACUCUUAAGAAGAGCUUAACAGAAGUGUGUACAAAAGGUCUUUCCUCAUAAAUACAUACAGUGGAUCUGGAUUCCAUGCAGUCAGAUCCAGAGUGGAUAAUAUGGUGGCAGCCACCCCUGCAUAAGAGACACAGAAGGCACCUCCCACGCUGGUUAACUAUUGAAAAAGCACCACUGAAAGCACAGAAAAUUAAAACUGAUGGCUGCUGCCAAAACUGGUAUCAAGCAACUUCCCUUCUACACUGAAUAGCUGUAGCUCUAUGGCAUAGCAUGGGCUUUCCAUGCAGAAAUUUGAGACCACACUGUGCCAGAACGGUGCAGCAUCACCUCUGAACACUGAUGUGAACUCAAUCCCAUCUCCAGAAGAAAAGACUGACACUUCAAAGCAGGCAGUUAUUCUCAUGAAAUUCAAAGAUAACUGUUAAAGCUUUGGAUAAGGAUGCAGAGCUCUGUGUAAUGAAGACAAGGAAGAUAUUGGAAGGAAACAGUAAUCACUUGGGGUUUCUCCCCUGAAAGAUGUCUUCACAUUCCUAAUAGAAUAAUUAAUUCUCAUGCAUCACUGCUCAUUAGCACCCUCUGUUAAAUGCUUGGUAUCUCUAGGUAAGCCUGGGCAAAAGUCCUUUUUGCCACUCUUGAGAUCCACUCUGAUCAGCUGAGACCAAGUAUAAGCAAUCUGGUACCCUCCAGAUGUUUCUGGGAUACAACUCCAAUAGUUUCUGACCAUUAGCUACAGCUUCUAGGAGCUGCAGUUGUAAAACAGGUGUUCUCAAUGUGGUGCCCAGAGGGUUCUUCAGUGGUACUCAUGAAGUUCUGCCUCCCUGCACCCUUAAAAAAACACCCUAAGAAAUGGAAGUGCAAUCUUCUCUCCCUUUGUCGCGUCUAGCCUUAUUCUUCUCUCUCCUCUAUACUCUGCCUUGCUGUUUUCCCCUUUCCCUUCCAGUCUCUAGCCUUGCUAUUUCUCUUCUCCACUAUUGCCUUUUUGGGGCACACUUUACUAGUCAGCCCUCACAGCAGUGUUGGGUCAAAUUCAGAUUGUUCUAAUGCAUGGGUCCUCAAACUAUGGCCCGCGGGACGGAUCCGGCCCGCCAUGGCCAUCCAUCUGGCCCAUGCCGCCGUUUGCCUCCUGCGUGCUUGCUGCGCAGGCAGGGAGGUGGUGGC